CACACCGCCCGUCACACCACGAAAGUGGUCAUAACCAGAAGCAGAUGAGCUAACUUCGGAAGCAGUCUACCAAGGUUGUGGCCGUGAUUGGGGUG
rnacentral:rRNA from 1 species